rnacentral:rRNA from 1 species
GAUGAACGCUGGCGGCGUGCUUAACACAUGCAAGUUGAACGAAGUGGCGGAUGGGCGAGUAACACGUGAGGAACCUGCCUUUCACAGGGGAAUAACCCUGGGAAACCAUUGCUAAUACCGCAUAGUGAAAGAUGGCCUCGCGCCUGCUUAGCUGGUAGGUGAGGUAAAGUCUCACCUAGGUGAUGAUCAGUAGCCGGACUGGAGGUUGAUCGGCCGCAUUGGGACGGAGACACGGCCCAGACUCCUACGGGAGGCAGCAGUGGGGAAGAUUGGGCAAUGGCGCAAGCCUGACCCAGCAACGCCGCGUGGGGGAUGAAGGCUUUCGGGUUGUAAACCUCUUUCCAUCGAACAGGGUAGGUGGAGAAGAAGCGCCGGCUAACUACGUGCCAGCCGCCGCGGUAAUUC